rnacentral:lncRNA from 1 species
CUCCAGUCCUUCCCCUACACCUUUCCUGUGCACACCCCUUUAAUGAAGUGUAAAAAUAGAUAUCUUUUGUGAUAUGUUUCUACACUUUCCUAAUGAGCAACGUAAUAACACUUUUAGUUUCAUCAUUGGUCUGCAACAACCACCCUAGCUGUCCUUGCCUUUCUCCAGAUUAGCUUCAGAGCACCACAGUUAUCCUGCCAGCCACCCCACAGUUGCCUAAGAAAAUAUUUGCAUGUCCAUACAUUUUCUGCUAUCUAACACUGUGUGUAUGAAACUCACUCUUAGAAGACAUUUCUCUGGCAGCCUGGAAAAUGCCAGUAUUCCUGUGUGCAAUGAGGAUAAAUGAAGAUUUACUUCUUGCUUGUCAUUUCUCUGGAGUGUUCAGCAUGGAAGGAGAUUGCUAAUGCUUGUCUGGUCCCCUAUGGACCACUGCCUUCCGCACAAGGAAAGGCUGGCAGCACAUGGAGGAAAAUCAUGCAACUCUUCUUCCGUAGGGAUGACUCCUCUGGGAGAAGGUUGGGGCGCACGGGCACAGUGUUGGGAGGGAAGUCUUUCUCUGUUGCAGAGGAGAAGUAGAGGAUUUUGGUGUUCAUGACCUUUUACCUGGCUGCUCUCUUCAACCCACAGUCCUAAAAAAUUAAUUGUCUGGAAAAGAUAUGAAACAGGAUUGAGUUCCUCAAAGGGACUCUCCUCUCGGCUGCUACAGGAUCUGCUGACUGCACACAUUCUGUCCUCUCUCUUGCCUGGCUCCCAGUUAUCUCCUUCCCUCCUCGAAAGUUUAUGAUUUUACUUUUGUGAAAUUUCUUAGCUUCUCACUUGGGGACUGAAGGAUGUUUCAUGAGCAGAAAUGGAGCAAAUGACUUUCCCUAUAACAGAUGAUACUGGAUAUCAACAAACAAAGAAAAAAAAAAAGGGCCAGAGCCACUUCCCUACCAUCAGCACCACGAAUCUAACAGCCAGUUCUUAGGAGCGUCUCUGAACUUAAGAGCUCCAGUUAUGGAAGUGGGUUCAGUAUUUCUAGAGAACAGAUAAACAGGUAAGUACGUUUUUGUUGUUAAUAUUUGAUACACCUCAUGAUUGGCAAAUGUUACACUAAUUGUUUCAUUUAACUGCUUGCAUGAAGUAUUGGCCCUCUACUACUAGGGAAUUAAGACAAUUAAACACCACAGCCACUAGGCAAGAAAUUUGCAGUGACAACUGAAUGAUUGGGGUUUUCCUGUCCACCCAAAGAACAAAGUCCCCAGGCACAGCAGGUGAUUGGCAAAUACUAAUGAAGCAGCAGAUGCACAGAGGAGUCCUUCCCUUGUACAAUAGGUCAAGCUGGCUGAAAUGCCUUUAAUCAAAAUAUCCCCACUGACCACAAGGCAGGGCUGUGCUGAUAUUUUGUGGAGGACACACUAGAGAGUGUUGUGUGCAUACAUGUUUUUCUUCAGGGAACUCUACUUCAGAUGGCAGGUUCAGAUCUUCUCAUUUAUGGGAUUCAGAACAAAAAUGGAUUUGGGUUUGCCAUUUACCACAGAAUGCUGAUUUUUACAUUUCAGAAGUUUGAAAACAACCAUUUGAUGUCAUCCAAGGGUUUUUUUGUUUGCUUGUUUUGUUUGUAUGCUACUAUGCUGAAAUUUUGUUUUGGGACUUUUAUAUUUUUCUGGUAUUUUGAUUUCUAUUUACAUUCUGUAACAGAACCUAAUUUAGAUAUGUUGAUGUGUCUAGCAGAACGAAAAUACUCUUUCCCAGCCUGUGUGAGCUAUGAGUGAUUUUCUUACAGAUGGGUCUCAACUAGCCCCAGAGCUGUGAACUUGGAAGCUGUUUCAGUACAAGCCUGAACUCUGCCUGGCUCCUAACUUUUGUGCAGGACAAAGUCAGUACCUCGGUUCUUCAUCCCUGAAACACUGUGAAUAUUUUUCAUUGAAGUAACUGGAACCUUGGACAUCAACACAAAGUAAAAGGAUGAUCUUUACACAAAAUUUUUAUGAUCUACACACCUUUGUAAGACAAAGUGUGUGUGUAAAGAUGAAAAAACUGUUGUCAAAAUGACAGAUAGCAAAAUAAGAAUGUCAAAAAGCUAAGCAUUGCCUGAGAUUUUAGUAGCGCCCACAACAAAGGAAAGUUUUAAAGAGAUUUUGGAGCUAGAUACACAGAAUCAUAGAAUCAUUGAACAUUCCAAGUUGGAAGAGACCCACAAGUAUCACAAAGUCCAACUCCUGGCUCCACGCAGAUUACAUACUUCAUAACACAGAGCUUUCUAGAUUUCAUCUUUUGUUUAAGCCAGGUCUUCAGUAAAGCAGAAGAGCAUCCACAGAAACACUACAGGUUCAUGUAAAAAUUAUUCUUUUCUCAACUUAAUGCCAGGAGAGAGACAAAAAGUAGUGCAUUUUCUCCUCCUUGCUAUCUCAUUGUUUAUCAAAAGGCACCAUGUGAGAAGAACAAUGUUGAACAGCUCCUGCCUGUUGCAUUGCACUAAGGUGUAGUCAAGGGAGGAGAGGCUUUACCAAGUGCAGUCAAAUAUCAGCUAUUCUGCUCAGCCAAAUCCCAUGUGCCAGACCUUUCUGCCCCAGGGCACUCCACAUAGCCAAGAAAGCAUGUACGCCAUUCCAUGUCUCCAUCAGCGCGUUCCAAGUGAAGGUGGACACAAAGAAACCUCCCCGGCAUCUAACUUUUGCUGUUCCCAACAUUUGUUCUGGUGUCAGUGAGGACUUUGAGCUGCAUCUAGAUCCUGCCAGAAGGUGAAUGUACUUUUGGUCUGGGAUUGCACGUCACUUCCUUCAUGCAGAAGUCAUCUGAAAUGAGCAUGUGAACCCAGGACUGAAUUUUUAAGGCACAUUUACAUACAUUACAACUUAGGCCACCCAUUCUAUAAUUAUCCCCUCCUCAGUAAUUUGGCAUUUCCCACCUCUGUACAUUGGUGGUAGGAAAUUUCCUUCUUCAUCAAAUCUACCAUUCAGGUGACUUUCUGAUGCUGUAGAUGUUCCUCCCUAAGGUCUGAUUUGUACCUGGUUGGGAUUUCUACAGCAGAGCUGGAUCUCACCUUCGUAGGUCUCUGUCUUACUGCAAGCAUUUCUACUGCCACAGGAGAUGUUUUUCUUCUGUAAGUUAGCUCCCUGCAGGAAACUCUUCAGUUGUUUUGUAGGUGGAUGGACACUCAAGAUGCCCUAUAGGAGGAAGUCAAGUUGCACUUCGCUUUCUCCUGCAGAUGAACAGUGAACACUUCUUAGAAGAGAAGGCAUAACAUGAUUCAUCUCAAUAACCCUCACAUAUGCACUGCUGAAUCUAGACUACGUGCCUCAACUCUCCCUAUGGGCAAUGGGGAGAAGAAGGUCAUUCUGGACAGUCCUGGAGUCCACCCAUUAGCCUGAGGAUGUUUCUUGUGCCCCGGCUGUAAAAUGGGAAGAUUUCACCAAACAUAACCUGGACACUGUGUGAUGAACAUAGUACUGCAGUCAUUCAGCUGUACAAGCAACUGCUUACAGAAGAGCCUUCUGUAUGUACGCAGGUUGUGAUCAUUUAUUAGAGGCAAACUGCUGCCUGCUUUUCUUUGUCCCUCUUUUGUGGCAGGAGGCAUAAAAGCCCAGCUCCUCUUCCUCUUUCCUCGUGACAUUAUUAUGUAAAUCAUCGUAUCACCAAGAAUAAGCACUUUGCCUAUGCCUGAGAAGAGAUGUUAUCUGGGAUUCUCAACUUACAAUUAAAAAGAAAAAAAGAAAAAGAAAAAAAGGAAAGAAAGUAGCAUUGUAGCCAUUGUUUCCAAAGAAGAAAUGUUGGCAUUCGUGAUAUUUAGAGCUAUAAAAUCUGAAAAUGAUAAGAUGUGGAAGGUUGAGUGAGACCCACAUUUCUACUACUGAGACAUAUACUGGGAGUGAGAGGGGGAAUGCUUGAGCCCACCAGAAGGAAUAGCUUUCUUAUCCAGAAGUAGCUGAUAAUUAAGAGCUACAGUUCUGUACCUACAAGAAAUAAGGGUUCAGAACCUGAAACUGUGCUUUAAGCAGAAACUGAAACCAAAUAUCUCAGUGCAGAUGACUGGAUCACCAUUUUCUCUUGAAGAACCUCUGGCCCUUUUUGUUAUGUUAGAGCACUCAAGCCAUGAGGACUGACAAAAGGUUUCCAACUUCUAUCAUCUCCAACAAACAGCUUAAGUUUUUUAAGGUUUUCAUCCAAAAAUAAAGGUCAUUAAAGUGACUUAAGC